rnacentral:rRNA from 1 species
GACGUAGGGUGCAAGCGUUGUCCGGAUUUAUUGGGCGUAAAGAGCUCGUAGGCGGCUCGUCGCGUCGGCCGUGAAAACCUAGGGCUUAACCCUGGGCUUGCGGUCGAUACGGGCGGGCUAGAGUUCGGUAGGGGAGACUGGAAUUCCUGGUGUAGCGGUGAAAUGCGCAGAUAUCAGGAGGAACACCGGUGGCGAAGGCGGGUCUCUGGGCCGAUAUUGACGCUGAGAAACGAAAGCGUGGGGAUCAAACAGG